rnacentral:rRNA from 1 species
UACGAAGGGGGCUAGCGUUGCUCGGAAUCACUGGGCGUAAAGCGCACGUAGGCGGCUUUGUAAGUUAGAGGUGAAAGCCCGGGGCUCAACCCCGGAAUUGCCUUUAAGACUGCAUCGCUUGAAUCCAGGAGAGGUGAGUGGAAUUCCGAGUGUAGAGGUGAAAUUCGUAGAUAUUCGGAAGAACACCAGUGGCGAAGGCGGCUCACUGGACUGGUAUUGACGCUGAGGUGCGAAAGCGUGGGGAGCAAACAGG